GACGAACCGUGCGAACGUUGUUCGGAUUCACUGGGCUUAAAGGGCGCGUAGGCGGGUCAGCAAGUCCGGGGUGAAAGCUUUCGGCUCAACCGGAAAAGGGCCUUGGAUACUGCUGGUCUGGAGGAAGGUAGGGGCGUGUGGAACUUCCGGUGGAGCGGUGAAAUGCGUAGAUAUCGGAAGGAACGCCGGUGGCGAAAGCGACACGCUGGACCUUUUCUGACGCUGAGGCGCGAAAGCCAGGGGAGCAAACGGG
rnacentral:rRNA from 1 species